rnacentral:rRNA from 1 species
GAUGAACGCUGGCGGCGUGCUUAACACAUGCAAGUCGAACGGGAAACCUUUUACUGAAGCUUCGGCAGAUUUAGCUGGUUUCUAGUGGCGGACGGGUGAGUAACGCGUGGGUAACCUGCCUUAUACAGGGGGAUAACAGUCAGAAAUGACUGCUAAUACCGCAUAAGCGCACAGGACCGCAUGGUCCGGUGUGAAAAACUCCGGUGGUAUAAGAUGGACCCGCGUUGGAUUAGCUUGUUGGUGGGGUAACGGCUCACCAAGGCGACGAUCCAUAGCCGGCCUGAGAGGGUGAACGGCCACAUUGGGACUGAGACACGGCCCAGACUCCUACGGGAGGCAGCAGUGGGGAAUAUUGCACAAUGGGGGAAACCCUGAUGCAGCGACGCCGCGUGAAGGAAGAAGUAUCUCGGUAUGUAAACUUCUAUCAGCAGGGAAGAUAGUGACGGUACCUGACUAAGAAGCCCCGGCUAACUACGUG